rnacentral:SRP_RNA from 1 species
UCGUACAGCCGGGGCGGUAGCGGUGCCCUGUACUUGCAAUCCGCUAUAGCAAGGGUUAUGUCUAACUUGAGGGUUAGUCUUUGUGUGGUCAGUGCCGGAUAAGUGGUGUUGAGAAUUGGGUCUUGUGCAAUACAAGGUUGUGAACCGGGUCAGGUGAGGAAUCAAGCAGCUCUAAGCAAUUUUUUUGUAUGUGACGCAAGGCACCCCAAUUUGAGCUAACUGUUUGGUAACGCAUGGAAAGUUAAUUCGAUUUUUAGGCGUACGA